GGUUUUGUCGCAAAGUUUUUGUGCUUAUUUUCUGUAUCAACUGCUGUGCUGCUGCUUCUGUUCAAGUCUUGGGCCUUGUUGUUGCUUACACUUUGGUUUCAUUGGAGUGGUAGAUGGAUGAGAAAUCCUUGAAUAUAAGUAACAAUUAAGGAAAUUUCAGUUUGCUUUAGUUCAGUCAAUUGUAGAUGUUUGAACUUAAUGGUAAUUCGUGUAAACUUUCAUGAAUUAGAGAUGAGGGUAACUUGAGCUAAAUUUCGGGUAAGCGUUUUCCAAUGUGCAAAACUGUUACGGUGUUAUGUCAAAGCAUUGAAUUCCUUGGUUGUGCAAUUAAUCAUUGGAAAAUUCAGAGUUGAAAGUCUAUGUGCUUGUGUACCUUUUCUUCUCAAAAUUGGAAAUCAUAUAUUGUUGCGGUUUCAGAUAUACAAGCAGUUAUAAGUC
rnacentral:misc_RNA from 1 species